GAUGAAGAACGUAGCAAAAUGCGAUAAGUAAUGUGAAUUGCAGAAUUCAGUGAAUCAUCGAAUCUUUGAACGCACAUUGCGCCCGCUGGUAUUCCGGCGGGCAUGCCUGUUCGAGCGUCAUUUCAACCCUCAAGCCCCCGGGUUUGGUGUUGGGGAUCGGCUCUGCCCUUCUGGGCGGUGCCGCCCCCGAAAUACAUUGGCGGUCUCGCUGCAGCCUCCAUUGCGUAGUAGCUAACACCUCGCAACUGGAACGCGGCGCGGACAUGCCGUAAAACCCCAACUUCUGAAUGUUGACCUCGGAUCAGGUAGGAAUACCCGCUGAACUUAAGCAUAUCAAUAUGCGGAGGA
rnacentral:misc_RNA from 1 species